rnacentral:rRNA from 1 species
UACGUAGGCAGCAAGCGUUGUUCGGAGUUACUGGGCGUAAAGGGUGUGUAGGCGGUUGGGUAAGUGUGGUGUGAAAUCUCCCGGCUCAACUGGGAGGGUGCGCUACAAACUGUCUGACUAGAGUGUGGGAUGGGUAAGUGGAAUUCCUGGUGUAGCGGUGAGAUGCGUAGAUAUCAGGAGGAACACCGGUGGUGUAGACGGCUUACUGGACCAUAACUGACGCUGAGACACGAAAGCGUGGGUAGCAAACAGG